CCCAAAAUUCCCACCAAGCAUCUUGGAAUACAUCGCCGAAUAUUGGCAGCACCUCAAAGGCUCCCGUGGUCUGAGGAAAAGGAUCGAAAAUCAAAGAUCCAAAGUGGGUAGAAUCAUGGCUUUCCUUUCGUUUAUAACCAAGGGCCAGCCAAUCCUCCAGAAUUGGACUUUCCUUCCCAAUAUGUCCAGGAUAUACCAGUGGCCAGAGCAUCUGCAGAAUGGUGGAAAAGCGGAGAACACAGUGAAGACCUACCUGGUGAAUUUGUCCCAGUU